rnacentral:rRNA from 1 species
ACCCGCACAAGCGGUGGAUGAUGUGGUUUAGUUCGAUGCAACGCGAAAACCUUACCCACCUUUGACAUGGCAGGAAUCCUGAAGAGAUUUGGGAGUGCUCGAAAGAGAACCUGCACACAGGUGCUGCAUGGCUGUCGUCAGCUCGUAUCGUGAGAUGUUGGGUUAAGUCCCGCAACGAGCGCAACCCUUGCCAUUAGUUGCUACGAAAGGGCACUCUAAUGGGACUGCCGGUGACAAACCGGAGGAAGGUGGGGAUGACGUCAAGUCCUCAUGGCCCUUAUAGGUGGGGCUACACACGUCAUACAAUGGCCGGUACAGAGGGUAGCCAACCCGCGAGGGGGAGCCAAUCCCACAAAGCCGGUCGUAGUCCGGAUCGCAGUCUGCAACUCGACUGCGUGAAGUCGGAAUCGCUAGUAAUCGCGGAUCAGCAUGUCGCGGUGAAUACGUUCCCGGGUCUU